GAGGCAAAGGAGCUUGCGCAGAUGGUCGGCUUUAAGCUGCUCCUGCAUUUGCUGCUGCGACCUCCUCAUCUGCAAAAAGUGCAUGUGUGUUCUUAAAGUGUCACUGACAUGAUUUUUCAACUUUGCUGAAAUAUAUUGUUUGUAAUUAUGUUCGAAGUGGUUCGUUUUUUUGAAAGCCAAUGUUAAAUUUGUAAAAAAAUGACAUCUAAAGUAGUGGCGGGAAAUUUUUCUGAUCUACGUCCCAGAAUAGGGCGCUUUUCCCAAGUGAGGGACGGCCGUUACAACACCGUGGGGACGGCUCUCAUCUGAUGUUAGUAAACAACACUGGAGUAGCUGGUCAAUCUCGUUUUGUAUAUUUUUCAUCAAAACAGUACUCAUGCCAAAAUGUUUUGUUGCGCUGGCUGUUCAGUGUACGACUGAUACUGUUUCUUUUAUUUUCCAAAAGACGAAGGUUUAGACUACAAUGAGCUAUUGUAGCUAUGGAGGAGAACCACAUUAUACAGCGAGAUGCAUUUUAAGCGGCAACAUGCUGUGAGCAGCCCCGUCUGCAGCUGUGACUGCCAGGAGAACCACACAGGAGAGAGUGGAGUGAGCUACCCGCCAUGGCCGGGCGAGUUGCGUUGAAAGCGGACCGAUGCCGUGGCCAGCCUCGGGCAGAGCUGUGGGAUGUCAGGAGAACAAAGCAAAUGCUAACUUCGGUGUAUGCAAUAUGGACCACCGCCUCGCGUUCAUUUCACUGAAAGCUGCUAUGAAGAAACACCUCGACAAGCAUUUUGGAUACUAGGAAGCUAGCAACAGGACUAAAGGGGGAGAAAGGCGUCAACGUUGCCACAGAACACAUUCGACUGCGCUGACGUCACUUGGAAAAUGCCCCUUGUGUAAGAUGAGUCCCAAAAUGGUGGACGACAGGUACAAAAAUCUUCAUCCUCAUGGGAGCAUCCUGAGAGUCGUUGGACAUCUCAGCCAAACUGUGCGCCUCUCCAUGUGAGGUCCUGUGACUGUCACUCCCAGGCCUGUCUCCUCCAGGUAACCUGGACAGGUCAUGCACGGCGAGGCAGCUGCUGUCCGUCGAAGCCAGCAAGGGGGCGAAGUCUGAGGUGCAGGGGUCGCCCUCGUACGGCUCCAGGGGCGGAGGUCGCGGGGUGGACGAGGGAGACGUGUACCGCAGAGACUCCACCAGGUCAGGGCCCGGGUUAAGGAUAACACCGGACCUGGUGCUGCUGGGCAUCCAGCGGGACAAAAAGUCCACCUUGGAGUAUGGAAGUCCGGCGGUCGGAGAUGACAUUUUGGCGGCCUUUGUUCAUCCGAGACUUGAGCGACCGUUUAUGGUGACGGGUUACGGGGUUUGGACAAAUGUCACACACACUGAAACAUCAAAGAAGAAAUAAACGGUCAGCUCCGGUGUCUGGACUGAGUGGCACUCUGAUUGCAUCAUAUGCUCUCCUACUACUGUAGUUCCUGUGUAGACAUCUUUACAUUCAUAUCUUGGUGCAUCGGUUAUAAAACUACAUAUUCCAUACACCUUUAAAUUAUAGCACAUCUGAAAGUACAAUUGACAAUCAAAACACCUUUUAACAAUAGCUAAACAUCACUGGAAAAAGUCACACACACUGCAAAUGGAACAUACCUUAUUCAAAAUGGCGUGCUGUUAUCGGCUAACAUUAGCCAAGCUAAGUAAAGUACAGUAGUACCUCGCAUAACAUAAACCUCCUUUUACAUAAAUUCCACUGAACAUAAAGAAUUUAUGUAAAGUUUUUGCUUCGUAUUACAGAAGAAAUUCCAUAUAACAUAAAGCGUCAAGUCAGUGCAAUUCUUUUUUUUUUUUUUUUUCAAUCAACUUCAUUUAUGUCCCAAGCCGUUGCAUGUUCAGACUAACACUUGGUGACGCCUUCUGGCGCAUCACUCUCUCAUUGGCUGAUUUUCGGGACACCGCCUCCGCUCUCAUCUCAUUGGCUGAUUAUCGGGGCACCGCCUACAAUCAUCUCAUUGGCUGAGUUAUACAGCACGUACGUGAGUUUGUGUGAGAGACAGGCUUGCCCCCUCAACCUCCUUCCUCUCCGUAGUGCCCCUGAAACUAACUUAAACAAUUAAGUUAAGUUACAAAUUAAAAUUUGGCACACAGCAUUAUCGUGUAGUGCGUGUGCGUUUGUCUGUGAGACCAGCUGACUCUUAGACUCUUUGAGUCGCGUUUCGACUCAGACUAGUCCUCCUCCUCCCUCCUGCCUCCACUUGCGCUCCUGAUCAAGACAUCUCGUGAACGGUAGGAUUGUUUUUGUUUUUCAGUUUUAUUCAUUUACAUUAAUCUUAUUUAUUACCUUAUUUUAUGUUGGAAUGUUACUCUAUGUUUAUGCUAACGUUUUCUUAUAUUUUCCCACCAUAUUUGGUGGACUUUAAAUAUUUUGAAGUGCCAAAGGGGUGAGUUUGGGAAGAGCUUGGAACGGAUUAUGUUAUUUACAUGUAUUUUACGCUUCAUAUAACAUAAAAUCCCUAUCACAUAAAGGUUCUCGGAACGGAUUAUUUACGUUGUAGGGGCGUCUACUGUAUUAGUCAAUAUUCAACACAUAACUAGCAAUGUUGCGAAAGCCGUAUUUUAGCGAUGAAAAAAAUCCUGGCACUGAGCGUGCGGGCCCUGUAAGAAGAGUGCGUGCGACUGCGGUAAAGUUAGAAACACAUUCAAAGAUUCGAACUUCCGCAAUCAAUAACUCACAAUUGAAUAUUUGUAACAUAGAAAACCAUCCCUCUUUUUAACCGUGGCAACACAAAGAGCUACAAGCUUUUUUCUUUUUUUUUUUUAAAUCAAAACGAGCCGUCUUCUGUGCAGUCUGACUUACAUUGAUCUCUACGGGACCGUCAACAAAUGUCGACCUGGGUUCGAAUCUCCGCUUGUGUGGGUUUUCUCCAGGUACACCUGUUUCCUCCUUCAUUCCAAAAACAUGCAUGUUAGGUUAAUUGGCGACUCUAAAUUGUCCAUAGGUAUGAUAUGUGUGGUAUGAAUGGUUGUUUGUCUAUAUGUACCCUGCGAUUGGUUGGUGAACAGUCCAGGGUGUACCCCAAAAGUCAGCUGGGAUAGGCUCCAGCAUAUCCCUGCGUACCCCUCGUGAGGAUAAGCGGCAUAGAAAAUGGAUGGAUGGGUUAUACUAAGCAACCAGUUUGUGAAAAGGCCCUUUUACAUCAUUUAGUUAAUAAAUUCACUUCCGUAACAUGUAGGACCACAUCAGUCACACAUCAGUGACCUCUUCCUGGUAUUACUACAGCAAUUAUUUUACUUUUAAAUAAUUUUGGGAAAUGUUAUGAUGUAUAAUGUUUAAUAAAUUCACUUUUGUAACAGGUACGGUCAAUAAAUUCACUUCUGUGAAGAGUAAGGACACAAAACUCACAUCACAUUUUCAACACCAAUAGGAAAAUGUGCAUUUAAAUAACUUAGGUGAAUUUUUAUGAGGAUUAUCGUUAAUAAAUUCACUUUUGUAACGUGUAUUGAAUAAAAUCGGUUCUGUCAAGAGUGGGGACACAAAAGUCACCUCACACAUCAACGACCUUCGCCUGGUUAUACUACACCAAUGUG